rnacentral:tRNA from 1 species
GGCCUUGGAUACGUCUGGUGACGUUCUCUCACUGUCUAUGAGAUGCAGGCGGGUUCGAUUCCCGUCAAGGCCGCCA